ACACUUUAUAUGAAGGGGUUUACAUAACACCUUUCUAAAAAAACAAACAGUCAUAACACAUUUACUUCUGAAGUAUCAUUCAUAACAACCACCAUAACACAUUUACUUCUGCAGUAUCAUUCAUAACAACCACCAUAACACAUUUUACUUCUGCAGUAUCAUUCAUAACAACCACCAUAACACAUUUACUUCUGCAGUAUCAUUCAUAACAAACCACCUAACACAUUUACUUCUGCAGUAUCAUCAUAACAACCACCAUAACCAUUUUACUUCUGCAGUAUCAUUCUAACAACACCAUAACACAUUUACUUCUGCAGUAUCAUUCAUAACAACCACCAUAACACAUUACUUCUGCCGCAUCAUUCAUAACAACCACCAUAACACAUUUACUUCUGCAGUAUCAUUCAUAACAAACCACCAUAACACAUUUACUUCUGCAGUAUCAUUCAUAACAACCACCUAAACACAUUUACUUCUGCAGUAUCAUUCAUAACAAACCACCAUAACACAUUUACUUCUGCAGUAUCAUUCAUAACAACA
rnacentral:lncRNA from 1 species